GAUGAACGCUAGCGGCAGGCCUAAUACAUGCAAGUCGAACGGUGUAGCAAUACACAGUGGCGCACGGGUGCGUAACACGUAUGCAACCUACCUUACAUUGGGGGAUAGCCUUUCGAAAGGGAGAUUAAUACCGCAUAAGACAGUAACUAGGCAUCUAGUAGCUGUUAAAGAUUUAUCGAUGUAAGCUGGGCAUGCGUCCAAUUAGUUAGUUGGCGAGGUAAUGGCUCACCAAGACGAUGAUUGGUAGGGGAACUGAGAGGUCAAUCCCCCACACUGGCACUGAGAUACGGGCCAGACUCCUACGGGAGGCAGCAGUAGGGAAUAUUGGGCAAUGGGCGCAAGCCUGACCCAGCCAUGCCGCGUGCAGGAAGAAGGCGUUAUGCGUUGUAAACUGCUUUUAUACAGGAAGAAACGACCCUUGCGAGGGGUAUUGACGGUACUGUAUGAAUAAGCACCGGCUAACUCCGUGCCAGCAGCCGCCGUAAUAC
rnacentral:rRNA from 1 species